UACGUAGGGGGCGAGCGUUGUCCGGAGUUACUGGGCGUAAAGCGCACGCAGGCGGUCUGCUAAGUUUGGAGUGACAGUUGGUGGCUUAACUGCCAAAGUGCUUCGAAAACUGACAGACUUGAGGGCUUCAGAGGGACACGGAAUUCCGGGUGGAGUGGUGAAAUGCGUAGAGAUCCGGAGGAACACCAAAGGCGAAGGCAGUGUCCUGGGGAGUACCUGACGCUCAGGUGCGAAAGCCAGGGGAGCGGACGGG
rnacentral:rRNA from 1 species